rnacentral:rRNA from 1 species
UGGGGAAUCUUGCACAAUGGGGGAAACCCUGAUGCAGCGACGCCGCGUGAACGAUGAAGCCCUUCGGGGUGUAAAGUUCUUUCGACAGGAACGAUAAUGACGGUACCUGGAGAAGAAGCUGCGGCUAACUACGUGCCAGCAGCCGCGGUAAUACGUAGGCAGCGAGCGUUGUUCGGAGUUACUGGGCGUAAAGAGUGCGUAGGCGGCGAGCCAAGUUUGGUGUGAAAUCUCCCGGCUUAACCGGGAGGGUGCGCCGAAAACUGGUUGGCUGGAGUAUGGGAGAGGAAAGCGGAAUUCCUGGUGUAGCGGUCAAAUGCGUAGAUAUCAGGAGGAACACCUGCGGUGUAGACAGCUUUCUGGACCAAAACUGACGCUGAGGCACGAAAGCGUGGGUAGCAAACA